rnacentral:lncRNA from 1 species
GGACCUGCCUCGGAAGCAGAAUCAGAUUCCGCUGACUGGGACAACAUCACGUGACAGCGACUCCAGUGCCCAGGGGCCCAGGAGAACAAAGGCGGCCGACCGGGAAGCCUUCCCAGGACCCAGGCAGGGUUCCAUGGCCCCCGACCUCCCUCAUCAGGGCCUUGCCCUGCUAGGAGGCAGUGAAUGUUUCUGGACGAGGAGGCCUGGAGCUUUGUCUUGGAGAUGGAGCCAUGGAGGUCAAGGUGCAUGGCUCAAGUAGCAGCAGAUUGGAGACAGAGCACUGAGCUAGGGGUCCUGAGCCCCCAUCCUCCAGGGCUCUGCCCUUCACACCGAG